UACGUAGGGUGCGAGCGUUAAUCGGAAUUACUGGGCGUAAAGCGUGCGCAGGCGGUUCGCUGUGUCCUGUGUGAAAGCCCCCGGGCUUAACCUGGGAAUGGCAUGGGAAACUGGCGGGCUGGAGUGUGGCAGAGGGGGUGGAAUUCCGCGUGUAGCAGUGAAAUGCGUAGAGAUGCGGAGGAACACCGAUGGCGAAGGCAGCCCCCUGGGCUAACACUGACGCUCAGGCACGAAAGCGUGGGGAGCAAACAGG
rnacentral:rRNA from 1 species